AGAGUUUGAUCAUGGCUCAGAUUGAACGCUGGCGGCAGGCCUAACACAUGCAAGUCGAACGGUAACAGGAAGAAGCUUGCUUCUUUGCUGACGAGUGGCGGACGGGUGAGUAAUGUCUGGGAAACUGCCUGAUGGAGGGGGAUAACUACUGGAAACGGUAGCUAAUACCGCAUAACGUCGCAAGACCAAAGAGGGGGACCUUCGGGCCUCUUGCCAUCAGAUGUGCCCAGAUGGGAUUAGCUAGUAGGUGGGGUAACGGCUCACCUAGGCGACGAUCCCUAGCUGGUCUGAGAGGAUGACCAGCCACACUGGAACUGAGACACGGUCCAGACUCCUACGGGAGGCAGCAGUGGGGAAUAUUGCACAAUGGGCGCAAGCCUGAUGCAGCCAUGCCGCGUGUAUGAAGAAGGCCUUCGGGUUGUAAAGUACUUUCAGCGGGGAGGAAGGGGGUAAAGUUAAUACCUUUGCUCAUUGACGUUACCCGCAGAAGAAG
rnacentral:rRNA from 1 species